GUCUAGAUGAGAGUCAAAGUACAUUUUAUUUGCAAUUUUUUUAUUUUUUGGUGGGGGAGGGUAGUGGUGUAAAAUUUUUUAUUUGCAGUUGACAGAUGAUACGGUGGCCAUUAAAAGGAAGAAAUAAAAAAUUGAGGUACUGGAGGUGCACCUGUUUUGAAUUGAACAUCAUUCAAAUAAAAGCAAGAUGUAUGCAGUAAGAAACCUCAAUAUGCUUUAACAAUAGUGGAAAAAUGAUAGAAAAUAUAUAAUUGUGGUAGUUGAGAUGCAUUCCUGCUUAAGUAAAUUUUGAAACUGAAGACAAUUUGAAGAUAAGGAAGGUGUAUGCACUGGAUGACUUAAAUCCACAAUCUAAGUGGUUAAGGUGAUUCUUUUCUAUGUGCAUCCCUGUUUAUCUCCCCUUCCUGUCUCAACGACACUAAAAGAUAAAAGCUUGCAGUGGAGCUUUUUUUGUGAUGUUGUGGAUGAGAAGAAGCUUGAUCUUGUAAGAACUCAGUGUUCUACAAGAGAUUAGAUUGGUACCACUUAAUGAGAUGAAUUGAGUCUCUUGUCUUGAGGAAGUGGCUGUGGUGCUUCAAGCGACGGAAGAAACCACUUUUGGAGAAAGCUGUUGGGAAAAUAUAUGACUCCACGUAAGCAGAGAGGGAAUCCUUAAAGCAGCCUGAUGGGGACAUCCAUGUAUACCAGCAGCGUAGGUGCAAGACCCAGCCACAUGUGCAUUCUAUUUGGCUGGAGGAAAACUAGAAGAAAGAAGAAAGAAGGAAAGAGAGGGAGUCGAACCAGCCUUCCCAGUGCUGGGUUUGACCCCCCUUUUCUCCCAAUCGGCAAAUCCUUGUGGACCCCACCAGAUUCUGUUUUUUUUUUUUUUUUGGUAAUUUACUUUAGUUCAUAGUAUUAUUUAACUGUUUUGAAUAUUUAGGAAACUAGUUAUUUCUUUCUAUUGGUCUAUUAGGUAAUUUCUAAUUUCAGUGAUUGAGUUCCUAAAUAACUCUAUUUUUUUGUGGUAAUUUUAUUCUUUAUAUGUGUAAGGCCAUUGGCCAUCUUUUUUCUGGUUAAUGAAUGAAAAUUUUUGAAUUAAGAAAGGCCAUCGUCUCUCUCUCUCUCACGAUUCUCACUCUUGCUCUCUCUUUCUUGACUUUCUCCCUCCCUUUCUCGACCCUCUCGUUUUCUUGACUUACAUCUCUCUCUCUCUCUCUCUCUUUGUUGCUGCUGCCCUGUUGCAACCAUUGUUCACAGUAAUUGGAGAUCACCUCCAUUGAAUUGACCCCACCUGGGUUGCUGCUGAGUUCCUCUUCAACAAGCUGGGCUGCUGCUGAGCACUACAUCAUCAAACUGGACCUUCUCCCUCGUCAAAUAAGGUGGAUUGCACCUUUGUUUUGGAGGACUUCGGCUUCUCCUUUUCUCCUCAGAUCGGGACAGCAAAAAGCUACCCUGUUGCAACCAUUGUUUACAGUAAUUGGAGAUCACCUCCAUCGAAUAGACCCCCUUGGGUUCCUGCUGAGCACUACAUCAUCAAACUGGACCUUCUCCCUCAUCAAAUAAGGUGGACUGCACCUCUGUUUUGGAGGACUUCGGCUUCUCCUUUUCUCCUCAGAUUGGGACAGCAAGAAGGUAAAUACCCCCUGUUCCAUAUCCAUCGACUGCCUAUUAUCCCCAUUAUCUCCCCCACUGGCCACUGAAACCUGAAAUUAUUCUCUGUUUUUCAAGCCAUCUAUUUUCUGUUAUCCUAAAAAAAAAAUCCCUACUGUUUUACCUUAUUAGUUGGCUGAUUUUAGAGAACUGCGUGGGUUGCUUAUUAUGCUUAGUGUCUUGAUUGAUUUGUGCUAAACCUAACACAUAGUUGUUGCCAUGUUCCCUUCCCCAUAUCUCCAUUUGAUGCUGGGGUAGUUUAAGUGUUUUUCAUGCUUAGAUUAUUAUUGACCGUUGUUGCCCUAUUAAUUAGCCUAUUAUCUUGCAUGUUAAAUCUGUACUUUACUGAGCAACUUUGAACCCAACCCAAUUCGAGACCUAUUGAGUAUUCCUUAUUCUAGUGGAUUGACCCCUUGUAGGAAACCUAGUUGUCUAGGUACCCUCCCUACAUCACAGCCUCUAACUACAGGACUCUUGUUUGAAAGGGAACCUUUCAACGGGGUGUUGGUGCUAGCAAUUUCAAGGUAAUGCUUUGCAUGUUGGAAGACUGGUGCUAUGGCCCUUGUUAUUUUCAAAGAGACUUCCAUAACCUCAUAUUAUCUGGAAACCAUUUGGGGAAGGAAUUUACAAGCAUGAUGGCUGUCAAUGUAGCCUGGGACAUUCAGCUAAAAUUUAAUAAUUGGGAACUUAACUACUGUUGGAACAAGGAACAGAGGCCACAUUUGGAACAGAGAGUGAGGAUGUUGCCUUUUUAUGACAUGAUUUUUCUAUUGGGAAGAUAAAGUUGUUUCCAUAGGCAGGUUUGUCUCAGAUAUUCAAAUUCCCUGGAUUAAUGGACCUGCAUGCUUGGUAAUAAUUAACUAACAACCUUUUUAUCAUUUAGUUGUCCAGAAGAAAGUGACUACUCGAAGAGAUUUUAGUGAUAAAUUCUUGGCCAGCUAAAAGGGUUCAUGAAGGAAGGCAGUAUUAUUUGGAACUCAUCUCUAUUAUCAUUUGUUGGUAGCAAGGAAUCUAGUGAAGUUGGGAAUGGAUUCAAACAAAGAUGCUGGACCACCUACUCUUUUUGCUGUCCACAGUGAGGGGAGUUAAAAGGUUUUGCUUGAACCAAGCUUUUCUAUUUCUUUUUCCUAUUCUUUUUGGGGUAUUCGAACCAUGCUUGUGUUCACAGUUUUCUACUAUCAUUUUUCUUUAAGAUUCUUAUACAUUGUUUGGGAUUCAUUAAUUCUUUACGUGAUUCAGUUUUCGGUAACUUUGUAUAGUUUAUUUUGGCUUCUUGUCAUUCAAAAAAAAAAAAAAAAAAAAAAAAUUCUGGUGGGGGUGGGGGCUGAGCACAGAACGGUUGGGGUAGGAAGUGAAAAUGUUCAGAUAUUUAUAAUCAACAACUGGCACUUGAUUAUGGGAGAAGGAUCAUCGUGCCUAAUUACAAUUAACAAUGUAUGCAUUUAAGGUGAUAUAUAUUAUAUCUCAUUUCAAGCUUAUGAGCAACACCCAAAAAUUUAGAUUGAUUGAGCACAAACUAGGACAUGAAUCUGGUGAAUCGCAUCAGUUUUUUUCUUUUCUUUUCCUUUUUUAUUUUUCCUUCUUUUGGGGAGGGGGGUCAGCACUGAUAUAAUCUCUUGGGCAAUCACUUAAGUGGGUCAAUGUAUUUAUUCCCCUGAAUGUGCUUUUCAAUUGAUUCAUGCUUCACAUUUCUCUGGUAUACUGUUGAUUAAGUAGGUCAGUGUUUUUUACUCUAUAUAUGUUUUACGUAGUUUAUAAAGAUAAUAGUAAUACUUUCAUGCCUUGCAUUUACUGAUCUAAAAGUAAAAAUUUUUAAGCAUAAAUGAGAAGAUUAAAAGAAAUUUCUGUUUUUCCUUAUACUGUAGGAAUGAUUACCCAGAAAAUUUUGAAAGUGGGUAGUAAAGGAGUACCUUGACUUCUGAAGUCGGAUUCAGCAGUUGAUGAUGCUCCUCUUUUGCUUUGUUGUAUCGUUCAAUUAUUGAUUUCAUGCUGGUAGCAGUAGAGGUAGACAGUCAGCUUUUUUUGCUUCUUACCCAUUUGGUUAACAUUUCAGUGGAGUGGAUUAGCAAGAUUAUGCCAUGACAAGGAGAAAAUAAGUUACAAAAAAUGCAUAUUAAAUUAACCAACGGCUUAGUCUCCCUCCCCUCCUGACUGACCUAUGUAUUGAUCCCAAUCACCCCAUACUAGUUCCAGCUGGAAAUUGACAGUUGUAAAGUUGCCAUUUUUGUGAACUUCUGAACUUUAACUGACAACUUACUGGAUUUGACCACAAGCAUAUCUCAUCACAAAAUGUCACCAUCACCUGUUUAGUGAUGUUCAUCGCAGGUUUACUGAUGCUGUAAAGUUGAGUUGGGUCAUGCCAUUACCUAGAUAUGGUAUUUGAUUGCUAGAUAAAGAAUUAAGUGUUCUUGUUGAACUCCUAAAAAUAUGAAGGCAAUGAGACAGCAGUGACCUUUCUACUGAAGUGAAAUUGAAUUUCAGUGGUUUUGGGGUGCAAGUUCUUAUCUCUGUCUGAUUACUUUGGGGACCUGUUGACAUGGUAUUCUACAGUCACUCUCUUGUAUGCUUGUGUCUUUGUAUCUAUAUGUUUUGGAUGAUCUUCUCUCAUCCAUAUUACAUUCUUUGGUUGUUCCGUGAGGCUAUACUUGAUUUUAACAUCCACUUAGGUUGGCACUUGAUCAUCUAGUUUUUUUGGCAUUGAUAUCCAAGGUCAAUUCAGAAAAUUAUUAUGUAGUAUCAGUCAAGGAGAACUCUCCGAUACAUAUUAUAAGUUGCAAGAAAGUCAUUUGAGGUGGCAUGGACAUUUACAAUGGAGUCCUCUCAAGUGCUUUAAUAUGGUGGGGUAGGCCUAAGAUGACUCUAGGUGAAGUGAGAAAAGACAGGCGUAGCUUAGGACUUGUAAUAGGUAUGUCUUUGAAUAGAACUGAUUAGAGAAAAAUGAUCCAUAUAGUGGACCCCAUUUAGUUGGGCCAAGGCUGAGGAAGAGCAAUUACAUUUCUGACACUGCAUGUUCAUAUGUGGUACAACAUCUUGUGCACUGCUGGAGGUUGGGUGUGGCACUUAAACCCUAUUGAGGUCGUUUGUUUAGGUCAAUUUUAUGGUUGUUCAUUCUUUAUUUAAUACUGGGAAAAAAAUUUGCAAAGAAAAUUUGACAAAAUAGGUUAGGGAUAUGGUGGUUAUUGCCUAUAACUCCUAUGCUUCCCACUGGACAUGUAGCAGGCUUAUUUGCAUAAUUGACUUAGAAAACAAGAUGAGCUUCAAGAUGGUGAUAACAACAACAGCAAUGACUAGAAAAGAAAGAAUUCUAAUAUGUUAGCUCAGACUUGAUUCAAGUAACGGAAUUGCAGCGCAAUAUUGUUGGAAAACUUUUCAUCCAAGGAGUGUUGUAGUGCAAAUUUAUGUUAAAAGGAUGAGGACAAAGAUGAUUGGAUUGGUGAAAAUCAGUAGAUAUGGUAUAAUUUCAACAAUUGGAAUGGUGGAACUUGAUUUAUGUGUAAACCCAAUUGGUAUAGAUUGAGAUUUGUGAGUUGAUUGUUUCUGGUAAAGGCUUUUCAAGCAAAACUCAUCGUUUUUUAAGUCACCAUUAUACCAUUAUGAAUUCCAAGCAACCAUUUGUACUUAAAAGUAUAUUGCUAUAUCAUUCUUUGAGUAUUUCACCAUGUGUCUGUCCCCGAUAUCCCCUUAUAAUAAAACCUUGAGUUUAACCUCCUAACUAGUAACUAGCACACUACCAUAAUGGACACUGGUAAACAAAAGUGAGCUAACUUGAUAAUGUCCAAAUUUAAUUGAAAAAGGUAAUAAACACCAAUAGAAUGAAGACCAAAUGUAUCAGAGUUCUAGUCAUGAAAAUAUCAAAUCAGAAUCACUAGCAGAAAUGAUAAAUUUUGCUAGAACAGGCAAAGAACAUUGUAUAUUCUCCAGUAUUCAGCAAAGUUCACGAUAUAGAGCACUCUAAGAAAAGUUGAAACAGGAGGAAGAUCAUGAAGCCGUAAGUAUAUAUUAUACAAGACUCAGAACAAAGUAGGUAUUUUCCACAAGUAAAUACAAGAUUAAUAGGUUUCAGCAAUAGUGUAAGGGCAUGGUUUUACAUGACAUAUUUGUAACAGUGUUGAUGCAUUUUCCAGGUAUUGAGCUGAACUACUAAGGGGCAGCUUAUCUACUGGCAAAGCAAUUGAACUAGGGAAUUCAAUUACAUAAUUCUAUGCUCUUUUAUUCAUAUUAUCCAUUUUCUUUAGAAUUAGUAAAAAAAUUAUUUUCUGGACUGCCAUGAAACAGAAAUAGAACCCAAUUUGGUGGGCAAUCACAAUGUGAAGUCAUAUGAUGGCUGUAACAAAUUUCUGCUUUCGAUAAAUGCCUAUUAUGCAUUGUUUGAAGAA